GGGAAUUCGAUUAGAGUUUGAUCAUGGCUCACAACGUACGCUGGCGGCACGCCUUAUACAUGCAAGUCGAACGAAGUAGUAAUACUUAGUGGCAGACGGGUGAGUAACAUGUAGGUAUCUUCCCUUUGGUGAGGAAUAACACGAGGAAACUUGUGCUAAUACCUCAUAAGUCUUUACGGAGAAAGCUUUAUGCGCCAAUGGAUGAGCCUGCACUUGAUUAGUUUGUUGGUGGGGUAAUGGCCUACCAAGACAAUGAUCAAUAGCUGAUUUGAGAGGAUGAUCAGCCACAUUGGGACUGAGACACGGCCCAAACUCCUACGGGAGGCAGCAGUAGGGAAUCUUGCACAAUGGGGGAAACCCUGAUGCAGCGAUGCCGCGUGAGUGAAGAAGGCCUUUGGGUUGUAAAGCUCUUUCGUCGGGGAAGAAAAUGACUGUACCCGAAUAAGAAGGUCCGGCUAACUUCGUGCCAGCAGCCGCGGUAAUACGAAGGGACCUAGCGUAGUUCGGAAUUACUGGGCUUAAAGAGUUCGUAGGUGGUUAAAAAAGUUGGUGGUGAAAUCCCAGAGCUUAACUCUGGAACUGCCAUCAAAACUUUUUAGCUAGAGUAUGAUAGAGGAAAGCAGAAUUUCUAGUGUAGAGGUGAAAUUCGUAGAUAUUAGAAAGAAUACCAAUUGCGAAGGCAGCUUUCUGGAUCAUUACUGACACUGAGGAACGAAAGCAUGGGUAGCGAAGAGGAUUAGAUACCCUCGUAGUCCAUGCCGUAAACGAUGUGUGUUAGACGUUGGAAAUUUAUUUUCAGUGUCGCAGCGAAAGCAAUAAACACACCGCCUGGGGAGUACGACCGCAAGGUUAAAACUCAAAUGAAUUGACGGGGACCCGCACAAGUAGUGGAGCAUGUGGUUUAAUUCGAAGAUACGCGCAGAACCUUACCAACACUUGACAUGUUCGUCGCGACUUUAAGAGAUUAAAGUUUUCGGUUCGGCCGGACGAAACACAGGUGCUGCAUGGCUGUCGUCAGCUCGUGUCGUGAGAUGUUGGGUUAAGUCCCGCAACGAGCGCAACCCUCACUUUUAGUUGCCAUCAUUUAGUUGGGCACUCUGAAAGAACUGCCAGUGAUAAGCUGGAGGAAGGUGGGGAUGACGUCAAGUCCUCAUGGCCCUUACGUGUUGGGCUACACACGUGCUACAAUGGCAUUUACAAUAGGAAGCAAGACGGCGACGUUAAGCAAAUCCUAAAAAAAUGCCUCAGUUCGGAUUGUACUCUGCAACUCGAGUACAUGAAGCUGGAAUUACUAGUAAUCGCGGAUCAGCGCGCCGCGGUGAAUACGUUCCCG
rnacentral:rRNA from 1 species